AUGGGUAGAAGCUGCCUUCUGCUCUUGGAGUCCUCUGCUCAGGACAGGGAGGAGGGAGGGGACACCAAGUCCCCAGCCCUGGAACACUUCAACUCCCCCAGCACAACAGGCUGGCAAACCUCAGACGCCCCACCACUGGCACCCCCUAACAGGCCCUGGGGCUCCAGCACCACUGCCAACGCCAUCAAGGAAGUGGGUGACCUAAAGAGAAAGCAACGGGGGACGGUUUCCCAUGUGCUUCUGACUGCAGAGGGAGACUCAGGAAGAGAGCCCCAUUUCCAUGUCAGCACUUCACCACCUGGAGGAGACCUCAGCCUCCCUCGCUGCAGAGUGGAGAAAGAACAAUCAUUCAGCCCAGCAGCCUGCCCCUCGACCAGGUGGACAACAAUUUCCUCCCCAAAAUCGCCUCUAAGGACACCUCCGUGCUGCCUCCAGGGCGUUCUGCAUUCCCACUGGUCCCUGAGGACUUGGAGCAGCAACUUUGCUGUCAAGGGAAGAUGGAAGAGCAUUCCAACCGGAAGGGAGUAAGAAUCUCCUGAAUUCUCCAUCCAG
rnacentral:lncRNA from 1 species